rnacentral:rRNA from 1 species
GAUCCUGGCUCAGGAUGAACGCUAGCGGCAGGCCUAACACAUGCAAGUCGAGGGGCAGCACGUUAAAAGAGUUUACUCUUUAUGGUGGCGACCGGUGGACGGGUGCGUAACGCGUAUGCAACCUGCCUGACACGGGGGGGAUAAUCCGAAGAAAUUUGGUCUAAUACCCCAUAAUACCGAUAUAGGCAUCUAUGUUGGUUGAAAGCUUUGGUGGUGUCAGAUGGGCAUGCUUGUAUUAGCUAGUUGG